GUCCGCACCGUAAACGUUGUAUACUAGAUGUUGGAGGUUUCAACGCCUUCAGUGUCGUCGCUAACGCAUUAAGUAUACCGCCUGGGGAGUAUGCUCGCAAGGGUGAAACUCAAAGAAAUUGACGGGGGCCCCGCACAAGCGGUGGAGCAUGUGGUUUAAUUCGACGAUACGCGAGAAACCUUACCUGGCCUUGACAUGGACUAGACUGGGGUAGAGAUACCCCUUCCCGCAAGGGCUGGUUCACAGGUGUUGCAUGGUCGUCGU
rnacentral:rRNA from 1 species